GCAGCGAGCGACAGCAAGAGGGAGGGGAGGCGGUGGUGCACGGGCAGCGCCGCCGCUGCCAGGUCCUCAGGGGCUCUCGGCCGCUGCCCGGGGCUCCGCGGGGCUCCGGUGUCGGGGUAAUGUACCAAAACCGGGGAGCAGCAGAUAGAGAAGGUGAAGGAGAGCCGGGCUCCAGCGACUCCCCGCGACGGAAGGGGCACGGGAGCGCCCCGGGAGCUCCCAAGUUGCGCGCCCCCCGGCUCUCCACACCUCUCCCAUGCCAUGCCACAGCCGGCCAGCCAGCCCCAGUGUCCCGGCCCCGGGCGAGGAACCGCGUAUUCAACAGGAACCCCGCAGCAGUAGCCCCGGCCCCGCUGCGAGGGGGAACGCGCUGCUGACAUUUCUGCCGCCACUUCAUUUCCAGGCCCUGGGAGAGUCCCCUAUAAAGGUCCCGGGGCGUGCGUGGGACAGUGAGACGUGGCACUGCGGGGCUGUAGCGGGGCGCGUAGGCAUCUCCCCCAGCCAAUUCCCUGAACUGAUACUUUCAAAAUGAAGGGGAAGAUAGGAGUGAGAAUGAAGAAUGCCUUGGAGAAAUCCAGUCAUAAAGUUUGAAGAGUAGAAGUAAUAGGAAAUAUUAAUAACGCUGGUCUCUUGCACAGGUCAGAAUUUAGACAGAAAUGAUGUAACGUUACAAACCUGAGACAUAAGGGCUAUUAAAUUUGAAUCAAGAUUCACAGAUUUAUAUAUUAAUACAUAAUAAAAAUAUUUGCUUUUUUCCCUCCA